rnacentral:rRNA from 1 species
AGCUGUGAAUAGCCAUCGACUACCUGGAAAAGGUAAAAGAAUAGGACCUAUUCUGGGUGAGCUAACUCCAAAAACCCGUCCUCAGUUCGGAUUGCAGGCUGCAACUCGCCUGCAUGAAGCAGGAAUCGCUAGUAAUCGCCGGUCAGCCAUACGGCGGUGAAUCC